GGUAAUACGAAGGGGGCUAGCGUUGCUCGGAAUGACUGGGCGUAAAGGGCGCGUAGGCGGACUGCACAGUCAGGCGUGAAACUCCUGGGCUUAACCUGGGGACUGCGUCUGAGACGUGUGAUCUAGAGUGAGGAAGAGGGUCGUGGAAUUUCCAGUGUAGAGGUGAAAUUCGUAGAUAUUGGAAAGAACACCGGUGGCGAAGGC
rnacentral:rRNA from 1 species